CGCACCUGGGCGCGCUUUGCAGCCCCCUCAGCUCGGGUCAUAGCGCCGGGUGGCGGCCGCUCGGCCACGAGCUGCCCCUUGGCCGGGCCUCGGGAUGCCUUCGCCAGGCUCUGGGAGCCACUUCGGACUUGGAGGCUCCAGGCUUGGAGAAGGCCACGGCUCGGCUGCGAUGGGGAGCGAAGUCUCUGGCCGGGAAUGGUACCUGGGGGGCAGCUCCGCAGAGCCCCGCGCCCACUGAGGGAACGUGCUCGGGCCCCUCUGAGGCUUCCACAGCUAAGAGGAGCCACCAGUGUUGUGACAAACAGAAAAUGGAGUUGUUGUCUGAAUUCCGUUAUCUUCUCAAGAAGAUACACUUACUUAGAAAUAGUGACUCAAAGGGCAGCUGGAAAAGCAGGCAAGCAAUUCUGGCUUGAAGGAGUUCAGUCUAGCUAACUGAGUGGGAAGAAUAACACUGAAGGAGGAAUUUUUUUCCUGAGGAGAACUGGUGAAUGUGCAAGGUUAUGUUAUCAUUCAACCAGACGACGGAUCUGACUUGAAAAGUGUCACAUUGCUAUAAACGGGCAUCUUCACAAGCAAUAAAAUUCCAUCCAUACAAAAGAAAUUAGUAUGUGCAAUACCUUUAGUUCUCUCUCCAGCACAUGUACAUAUUUGAAAAAAAUACAGUAAAUUAUUGUAUUAUUGAAUGCAUCCAGAUCUCUUCUAAGCUGCAAAGUAUACUUUAUUCUGACUUUUAUUACUUAGAGAGUUUCAUUAAUUUUGCAAAUUACACCGUUCCUCUGUUUCAUUCAUGUGACUUUAAUAGCCCCAUCUGCUGGCUGAGCACCAGGUACGAGAGUUAGCACGUACCUUUGAAGGUCUCUUGUUGUAACAGGGCUUCCAUAAACUUGCUGCUGAAAUGUUUUGCUUUUUUCCUAAGUGAGACAAAAGAGAGAAAAUUGUAAAAGUGCAUUUUAUAGAUGCAUAUUAUCUCACAAUGCUGUGGAGUUCAUUUUGUGUUUACAAAGUUAUUUCUGCCAGUGUCAGUCUGCUUUGUUAAUGGUAAAGAUGCACUUUUGUUGUUGUAGGAACUUAAUUUCCUAAAACACUUUAAAGUUUGCUGAAGUGAAAAAGUGUGAAAGUGUAGAAACUGGAAGAAAACAGAAGAUUAAAUGUCAAUGCUUACUGGAAAAGGAAUUAAGCAAAGAUUUGCUUUCAGAUGCAGUACAUCGGUAGCACUGAGUGUUGUUGUUCUCAAGAGUUUGUCUUAUUGCUACUCUUCCCUAGGCAUCCAUUGGUGUGGAAGGUAGGAUACAGAGACUCUUGCUGUGACUCAGUAGGCUCAUUUUCAUGUUCUAGUGUUCUUUUAAUGGAAAUAGAUGUGAUAAAUCUCCCAGAAAUAAUGAGGGAGGCUUGAUUCAUCCCCUCAUUCUUUAAAUGGAACUACACUGCGCUGCUUCUUGAGGGAAAGCUUUUGAUGUUAUGUGUACUGCCAUGGUACUGUUCAUUCUCUAUGGAUGUAAAUAAAGUAGCUUAUAAGGUAGCUAAGGAGUAUGAGCGGACGUGUCUUGUGCACCAUUGAAACUGAAGACAAGUUUGAUAUUGCAUCUGCAGAUUGUCCAAAAUAAGUAUAAUUAUUAUAAACGUGUGGUUUAUCUAUGUAUUAAUACAGCAAAAUGCCAUUAAUAAGUUUCAGUGCUAUUUAAAGAAAUAUAUAUAAAUAUAUUCUCUACAAAACCUGUCAAAUGGUGUGGGAAAGGAAAAGGAAAAUCCUGAAAAACCAGUGUUGGGAGAGGAUGUAUAUUGGAGGGAUGUUCCAGACAUUGAUUGUGGUCACUAAGAAGAAACAAAAACUUGAGGAAGGAAAAAGUGCUAAUGAAUAUACCUGUACAUUCACCUGUACAGUGAAUAAGAGCCUAAACUGCAUUAUAAUUUCUGAUGCUGUCCAUUGGAAUAAAGAUCAUAUUAAUUCUUUGCAGUGUGCAGCAAAGAAAACUUUGCUGAAUAAGAGCAAUCUACCUUUUUUCCAAAGUUUAAUCCAGUGACUGAAGAUGGAGAGAAUGAUUUAACAGAGCUUACACAAGCACUAACAGAAAAUAUAAGUUACCAUAGCCAUCCUAUUAAUCUGUGGUUUCUGGUCUGAUAAGACACUUGAGUGUUUUUUAGGGCAGUGAAGCCUACAAAAGGAAGACAAGUCAAAAUCACUUAUGAUAUGAUGGUCUCACCAAUAUAGCAAUCCACAUUUUCUUAUGAUUGUUAAGAUGUUCAGUCAGUCUUGGCAAGGAAAUCCCAGUGAAACUAUUUACUCUAUUAGUAAAUUAAUGCUUACAAAGCCUUGUGAACUCAGAUUGGUAAGUAAAAGUUAUCUUUGCUUGUAGCGUGGUGUAAAGAUACAGAGGGAAUGAGUAUCAAAAAGAAAUAAAA